rnacentral:misc_RNA from 1 species
UGUUGUUUUGCUUGUUUGUUUGGACAUGCCGACCAACUGGGUUCUUUCAUUCAAUUGCAACAAUUUUUCUUUUGUUUUUCUUGGAUGGUGUUGCCUUCUUUUGAUUCUGCGAUUUCUUUUUCUUUCUUCUUUAAUUUGUUUUUCUGCGCAUCCUUUCUUUUCAUGUUUAUUAAAUAGGAUCUAUUCUCGCCUAAUUUUCAUAUCAUGAACACGUUAAUUGGGUCUCCAUAAGUGUGGAAUAAUGAUUUUUGCUUCUCAUUGAUGUGAUUUGACUCCAGUAUCUUUCUUUCAAGCAAGAAAAUUCAGUGGUCUGGGUUGGUCUGAUUUUCAGUGGCUUAUAUAUUAACAAGCCACCUGAUUUGCUGCUUUGAUAAUUGGAAAUUUGGUCUAUUUUGCAGGAUUUUUCAGGGAUAUAUGCUGUUUUACUAGGCUGAGAGGAUUAUCUGUCUCUGAAGAUGUAUCUAGUGGAGAGCAAAGGUGGAGCCAUAGUAUGCAUGCUAUUUUCUCUGUUUUUCUUAGGCACAUGGCCUGCUAUUAUGACUCUGCUAGAAAGACGAGGUCGACUUCCUCAGCAUACUUACCUUGAUUAUUCCAUCACCAAUCUCUUGGCCGCUGUAAUUAUAGCUUUCUCUUUUGGUGAGAUUGGCAAGAGCACACCUGAGUCACCGAAUUUUCUAACCCAACUUUCUCAGGAUAAUUGGCCCUCUGUUAUGUUUGCAAUGGCUGGUGGAGUGGUGCUUAGCAUUGGAAACUUAUCCACACAGUAUGCUUGGGCUUUUGUUGGUUUGUCAGUGGUGGAAGUCAUCACUUCUAGCAUAACUGUUGUUAUAGGUCUGUGUAUUGAAAUAACUUUGACACUUUUAUUAGAUUAAGGCUUUAAUUUUUAUUACCCUUCUGUUGUUCUUUAUUUUUUUUGUGACAGGAACAACCUUGAAUUAUUUCUUGGAUGACAAAAUUAAUAGGGCUGAGAUUCUUUUUCCUGGGGUUGGUUGCUUCUUGAUUGCUGUUUGUCUUGGUUCAGCUGUUCAUUCUUCCAAUUCAGCUGAUAAUAAAGCAAAGCUCAAGAAUUUAUCAAAUGAUUGUCAACUCAAAACAGUGUAUGUAUCUUUCUUGCUUUGAAAGACAUCAAAGCAUUUGAUGGUUUGGAAUGGAAUUUUCAAUUUUCCUUUAAAAUAUAUUCCAUGUCUAGUAGACCUGGCCAAAGGGGUGGUCUGGGCUGACACCGGCGAUUAGGAGAGCUGAAACUGGAUUGCAGGGUCCUCAGCCAGUUCAAUUACGAUUUUGAUCAAAUCUAACAGUUAAAAUUUUUUUAACAUUUUUUCCAUUUCUUUUUUUUUCAACCUUCUCCCAGGGACACAGGUUCUUCCACAACCAAGGAAGAAGAAUUUCCAAACAAUGGUGUGGAGAUUGAUGGAAUUCUACAACAAUUUCUUUUUAGCUCAUUCUGUUUGUAUGACACUGAAUUUUGUAUGUUCUUAUUAUUAUUGUGAUUGCUCAGGAGCAAAAGAUCUGGAGAAUGGAAAUGCUCCUUCAGAAAAGGCAAAAGCUGGAACUGCAGCUUUCCUCAUAGAGCUUGAAAACAGAAGAUCAAUCAAGGCUUGUUGCUCAGUUUGGUUAUUUAUGUUAAUUUUGUGUCCCAUCACACUUAAUUAUCGCAUUACCAAAAAAUUGUGGGUGUGGCUUUAAUUGCAGGUGUUUGGGAAGAGCACUUUGAUUGGACUGGCUAUAACUUUCUUUGCUGGUUUUUCCUUCUCACUCUUCUCACCAGCUAUCAAUUUAGCUACAAAUGAUCAAUGGCACACCUUGAAGAAAGGGGUUCCUAAAU